rnacentral:tRNA from 1 species
GCUUCUAUAACUCAGCUGGUCAGAGUGCAAUACUUGUAAUAUUGAAGUCGUAGGUUCGACUCCUACUAGAAGCU